rnacentral:rRNA from 1 species
GGGUUGUGAGGUUAAGCGACUAAGCGUACACGGUGGAUGCCCUGGCAGUCAGAGGCGAUGAAGGACGUGCUAAUCUGCGAUAAGCGUCGGUAAGGUGAUAUGAACCGUUAUAACCGGCGAUUUCCGAAUGGGGAAACCCAGUGUGAUUCGUCACACUAUCAUUAACUGAAUCCAUAGGUUAAUGAGGCGAACCGGGGGAACUGAAACAUCUAAGUACCCCGAGGAAAAGAAAUCAACCGAGAUUCCCCCAGUAGCGGCGAGCGAACGGGGAGCAGCCCAGAGCCUGAAUCAGUGUGUGUGUUAGUGGAAGCGUCUGGAAAGGCGCGCGAUACAGGGUGACAGCCCCGUACACAAAAAUGCA